CUUUUCAGUUCUGUCUUCCUGAGGCUGCUGUUUCUGGGCAUGGCCAGGGGAUCUUCAGACUUUACAAACCAGUUGUGCAGAGCCAGGCAUUUCAAUAAGGAACAAAAUGCUGAGUAACAACAUGAAGUCAGAGUGUUGCUUGCCAAGAGCUGGGAGGCCUGGGUGGUUUCCCAAUCUUAAAGAAGCAGAAGGAUAUUAAAGUGAGCCUCCCAAAGGAAAACGUGGAUCUACUUACCAACGCAGAAAAUGAUACACACGGAUUCGAUUUAGGCACGCUACAUUCAAAUGACUUGGAAGAGCAGGUUCUCUGAGCCAGGAUACUAAAGUCCCUGUUUAGGAAAGAGCCACGUUGUAUGUUUACCCUACCACAAAGAUACAGAAUUCUGGAGGAAAGUGGCUCUGGGAAUUGAACAGUGGCUCAGUGAUGUUGGGGCCACCAAGUCUGCAAUUCUCCCUACCUGUUCUUCAUGGUUGUAAGAUGACUGCUGCAAUUCUCGGCAUCAUGUGCAUGUUAAUGUCAGGAGGAAGAAAGGAAGAGGGAGCACUGGGAUGUUACAUUCAUUUUGUCAGGAAAAGCAAAGCCUUUCCAGACAGCUCCGAAACUUGCUUACCUCUCAUUGGCCAGCACCAUCACUUGACCACUUGUCCACUCCUAGCUGCAAGGAAAGUGGCAAAGUAGAAGGUAUUUGAGAAUGUCUGCUGGGUUAGCCAAAACAAUAGUGACUUCUACACCCAAUUUUCUGGGCACUGCAGAAGUAUCCUUGAGUCCUAUGUGAUCAGAGGGAGAGCAAACCUCAAUAAUGAAACAGAUUCAAUUUCCAUCACCCAGUGAGACACCAUGGGAUUAGAAUAAAUUUUUAAAAAAACAAAUUGAAAAAAAUGCAUUUUUAAAACAACAAAAUCAGAAAGGAUGAAAGGUGAUAUUUCUAGCAUAUCAGUUUGUGGUGGUAAAUUAAUUACCUUAUACAAAGGCCUCAGUGACUUUCUUCUCCUUACCUAACGAAUCAUCUUUAAAAUAAGUAAAAUAAAGAAACAAGAGCAGCAGCAGAUGCUUCCUAAAAAGAAGUUACCAAAUCUGUUCACCACAAACCUGAGAAUUCAACUGUGGACAUUUGGACACCAGCAAUGAACAUGAAACUCAGCUUAUGAGGCAUAUUUGGCUAAAGGUCAAGGUGACUUAAAGUUCAUCAUAGGACAUCUACAAUUUGCAAAGCAGGUGACUGGAUAUGGACUCCUUCCAAGUCUCAUUUAAUUGGAUAAUGCCUACGUUUUAAGUAUCAGAAGUGAGUCUUUCUCUAUUAAAUGAAGUCAGUUCCACUAAAACCUAAAUCUUGUUUGGCAGGCACUCCAUGUUUCUUAAUUUUUAUUCCAUGCUGUAUAUUCUUUUAGACUUGAUUUUCACUUUUUUUUCUUUUUUCCUGUACAUUUAUCUUUGCUGUGAAACAAAGUGCCCUGCUUUGAAGGACAGGUUUGUGGGCUGCUGGUGGUGAGACAACAGCAGUCCUUCCAAGUCUUCCUCCCAUCACUCUGUUAGCUCUCCCUUUGUUUUUAAUUAGCAUUACACCAGUUAAUUCUGUUAUCUCUUAACCCUGGUUCUGCAUCCUCUUCUUCUUUUCUAUUCCUUACUCCGCUCCUGUUUUUUCUUGUUCUGCUUUUCCAAGAAAUGUCUUGUCUCCUCAUCAGUUGACUGUCUUCUCUUUCCAGAGGGACCAUAAAGGUGCCAGCCUAAGGAACACGUAAAACGUGGGAACAGACAAACAAGCUGCUGCCUAUUACAGAGAUAGAUAAUUAACUUUGGACCAUUACAUGCAAUUCAUCAGCUUAUCUUUUUCAAACUUUAUAUAAGAAGUCAUUUCCCAAUGGUAACCACUUGCCAGCUGCAACUUUGACGCAUAUUAUCAGGAUAGGUGAGAUUGAUGGGGGCCCUUUGAACUCUUCCCAGGGAAUUAUCUUUAUAAUGUUACAGUUUUCUCUAUAGCAUGGUCAUAUUGUUAACAUUGGUUAUAAGGUCAUAUGGUUAGUAUGGUUAGUAUUGGUGGCUCACAGCUGUAAUACCAGCACUUUGGGAGGCCAAGGUGGGAGGAUCACUUGAGCCCUGGUGUUCAAAACCAGCUCUGGAAACAUAGCAAGACCUUGUCUCUACAAAAAAAAAUUAAAUAAAUUAAAAGAUUAGCUGGGCAUGGUGGCACAUGCCUGUAGUCCUCACUACUUGGGAAACUAAGGUGGGAGGAUCCUUUGAGCUUGGGAGGUUGAGGCUGCAGUGAGCUGUGGUUGUGCCAUGGCACUCCAGCCUGGGUGACAGAGUGAGAGCCUGUCUCAAAAAAAAAAAAAAAAAAAAAAAAAAGUACCUGUAAGGUCUUUGGGAUUUUGAAGAUGAAAGGUGUUGCAUAAAUUGAAUGAAUUCACUUAGAGAGAUAGAAGGCAACUACAGGGAAUAUUACGUACAUCAUGGAGCGGAAAGCACUAAGGCCUGUGGAAUUAUUCUCAGUGACACGUCGUUGAGGGCAGUGGUCCACAUGUUUUGAACAUGGUUUCUCCCAGGUGAAAAGGAUGAGUAAUUUGUUCUCCUUCACAUGUGUGUAUGUAGGUCUUAUACACAGCAGAUUUGCCACAAAACAAAUGAAGAUUACACUUUGGGCCCCUCUCUCACAUGAGCCCCUUCCAAAGUUCUGUUUGCUAAUUUUACAUUUUGUAAUUUCUUAUUAUUUUUCUUAAAGAAGCCUCCUCCAAUUGCAUAAACUUCAAGCCUCACAAAAUUUGGAUCCAUACCUGAGCCAACAUACAAUACAAUUUUCCAUUUCUAACUUUUAGUUGUACCUAGUGUUUUAUUGGAAAUGAUCAAGUACAUGAGUGGUGUCUUUUUAAAAAAUUUACUUUAUUUGCUUCUCUAGCUUCAUCGUUAGUUAGGCAGUUAAAUCUAACCAUUUGGAGGUAUUUUCAUAUAACCUCCAUUGAGGACAAUUUGGCAAUAGCUUUUAAAAUUAUAAAUAUAUUUGUACAGUUAUAAGCUGCCAUAUCUAUAAAACUAUUUGAUAGACAAAAGUUGAAAACCCUCCAAGAGCUCAUCAAUAAAAGAUUAAAUUAAUUAUGAUACAUCCAUAUGAGCACUGAGCAGCUGUGAAAAAAAUGAGGAAGUAAUUCCUGUGCUGAUAUGGGAAGACUUCCAAGACAUGUUGUUAAGUACAGAAUGGUGUAUACAGUAUGCUAUAUAGUGUGGUAAAAGGUUUAGGGAUAAGCAUUUAUAUUUAUAACUGUUUAUAUUUACAUAAAGUAAUUCUGAAAGGAUACAAAAAAGCUAACAAAAGAGAUUACCUGUGGUAGUGUGGGGCUUGGGGAUUGGAUGGGUGAGAAACAGUAGUGGAAAUGAGAUAUUGUACAGUUUAAGGCAUUAUACACCUAUAAAAACAUGGGAAUGUAUUACCUACUCAAAAAGUGAAAUUAAGAGAGAUACAAGAAACUGUUUGGAUGUUCCUUCCCGUUUCAAUGUAUCUAUAUUUUUUCAGCCCUCAAAGUUAUUAUAAAUGUCAUUAUAAUAACUUCAUAAAGCUUCCCCUAUAAUGAGAAUCUUACCAUUCUCCUAACUCCAAUAGCACUGUAAUCCACCUCUGUUAGGACACAUCACUCUUCAUCAUGUGUGAUUAUUAUUUGCAGAUAUCAUCUUCAAGGCUCUUCUCUAUUUACCACCUGCCAUUCUUGUUCUCACCUCUACAUGACCUUCACAUUUUAUUUCUCUCGGUUUUUUGGACAAGCUACAUUCCCUUCCACAGAGAAGGCUUCCCUGACCCCUUUCACUUGGUUGGAUUACCUUGCUAUUCUUUUCUAUCUUUGUACAUUCCUUUUCAAAAUACUUAUCUCCCUUGUUGUUACCUAUAAUGUCUGUCUUCUUUACUCAAGAGUCUAGACAAAAAGCUCCACGCCAGCCUCGGCUGUGUUUGUAUUGUUUACGUCUGUGUUCCUAGUGCUUAAUAAAAUACCUAGCAAGGGUUAAUAAGUACUUGUUGACUGGAAGGGAAUGACUUCCUUCCCUUACUAGAGAGUGAUUUCCUUACAGGCGAGAUGUGUCAACCUUCUAUAGCCCACAUAAAAUAAAGGACAAUAUCUCCUAUUGGAUAAAAGACAA
rnacentral:lncRNA from 1 species